UACGUAGGGUGCAAGCGUUGUCCGGAAUUAUUGGGCGUAAAGAGCUCGUAGGCGGCUUGUCGCGUCGGCUGUGAAAACCUGGGGCUCAACCCUGGGCCUGCAGCCGAUACGGGCAAGCUAGAAUUCGGUAGGGGAGACUGGAAUUCCUGGUGUAGCGGUGAAAUGCGUAGAUAUCUGGAGGAACACCGGUGGCGAAGGCGGCAUCCUGGACCGGUAUUGACGCUGAGGCGCGAAAGCCAGGGGAGCAAACGGG
rnacentral:rRNA from 1 species